CUCGGAUGAGGAGGGUGUGUGAUUCUCUGGAAGAAACUAAGGCGAACAGUAAAAGGCUGAUGAACUCUGAAGUCUUUGUCAUCUCCAGCUACUUGAAGGAGAAUCAGAAAGAUGUUACCAGGACUGAAUCCUACCCAGACGUGAUGUGGAGGCUGAUGGGCAGGAGACCACCACCUGGAGUCAAAAGGCUUCAUCCUCAACUCUAAAUUUAGGGAAUAUGUGGUUAAGAGAUGAUCACUGAUGGUUAGGGGAACAAGAGGAAAAUUCAAGAUUUCCUCACCGGACUGGGUAGAAAUAAACAAGCCUUAAAGUGAUUCAAAAGAACAUGCCAACUUUUAAAAGAUAAACCUAGUUAAUUUUAUGUACUUCUCAACGAUAAUUUAAUAAAUGAUUGCCUG